GCAGCGAUGUCCGAGUGGUUAAGGAGUUUGACUCGAAAUCAAAUGUGCUCUGCGCGCGUAGUUUCGAACCCUGCUCGCUGCU
rnacentral:tRNA from 1 species